UUCUUUUUUUUUUUUUUUUUUUCGUUUUUCACAAUAUCAAACUAUUUAUUAUUCAGUUUACAGUAUAUUAUAUAUUUAGGGGUCCAAGCACCACAGGUUCACUAUCCUAAUCGUAAUCAUGUUAAAUCGUCUCCGAGUUGUUAUCAAUUUUGUGUGAAUUUUCCACCUUUUUAACCAAGUUUAAACCCUUUAGCGCCACCUACAGCCCGACGUUGUACACUCUCCGGAACCUCUUCUCAGACUCUUCAUUCCAAUUCCCUAUGAUUCCUUCAGUCUGAACAAUUCCGUAAACGUAUAAGACGUACACAGGAAGUUGGGUGUUUUCAUCGUUCCCUCCUACAAACUUACUCACAAAAGUACUUUUGCAACCGAUAAGUGCUGCUUUAUUCUACCACUUGGUGGCGCGCUAAUAAUAUAACAUCUGACUAGAAUGUCGGAUUAAGACGCUCAUGACAAAACGGAAACGUCUUUCGCGUGAAUCGGUUUUGUUAUAUAACCUCAUUAAAUGAAGCAUAACUUACAAAGUUCACAUCCCCAAGUGCUUGGACCCCUUAAUCACUUCUAGCUGCCAUGUUAUACUAUAAAUGUAAAGGAUUGUUCAUUAAUAAAUUGUAAUUGUUGCCAAAUUGCCACAGCAGAAAAGGAAUAACACACUUCAGGAUGUGCUGUUAUUGGACAUUAAUCAACUUCUAGGGCGGUGCUACAGUAGCUCUGCUUCAUCACCACACCGUUCUGACGGUGAUUACUUUCCUAGAACAGCACAACAUGGAGUGUUUUAUUCCUUACACUGUAUCUUGCUCGCCGCUCUCGACAAAACCUUUGAUUGCUCGGAGAUCAUACGCCAUUUUGGGGUUUUGAUUCGGAGAUGGCUGUCAAGUUCGCGUCGCAUUAAGAGCGCGAAAGACGGAGAGACGGGACGUCAAAGACACGUGGGAAUGAGGACUGCAGGACCGCACGUGAGAAUUUCGGGACAAACCGAGGAAGAGUGAGAAGAGGAGGAGCCUUUGCAAUGACAGGCAACAUGAUUGACAGGGUCACGGGGAAACCUGGAGCCUAUCCCAGGGAGCAUGGGGCACAAGGCGGGGUACACCCUGGACGGGGUGCCAAUCCAUCCAUCGCAGGGCACACUCAUACACAUUCAUACACUACGGACACUUUGGACAGGACAAUCAGCCUACCGUGCAUGUGUUUGGACUGGGGGAGGAAACCGGAGUACCCGGAGGAAACCCCCGCAGCACGGGGAGAACACGCAAACUCCGCCCACACAGGGCAGCGCUGGGAAUCGAACCUACAAUCCUGGAGGUGUGAGGCAAAGUGCUAACCACUAAUGCACUUUAUGUCGGUAUGUCUCAUCUAUUCUCAUAUAAUGGUAUCCACUAAACAUAACAUGCCACCAAUAGGUGGCAACAAAUUACCAGUAUAGACCCAUACAAUUUCCAUUAUAACCAUUAAAACCAUUACAAAUGAACUAUUGCUUUUUUUUUUUUAAAUAUUACAUCCAUCACGUGAUUUUUCAGUAAGUGCGUUUAUGAAAAGUUUUUCGACAGUAACCGUACUUAUUACUAACACAGCCUGUGUGUUUGGGUAUCACGAGAACCCGCCAUUCAUCAGCGAGACCCUCUCUGUAAUUACGCUCUCAUUUAUUCCGGUUUCCAAGGCAGCAGGAAACGAGGCUUUUUCUCUACAGUGGGACGAAUCAGUGAGCGCUUCCCCCCUGCGAGGAGAACACGCUGCGAGCUGAUAACCGUCCAAAUCCACCACACACAUUAACCGCCUCUAAUUUGGCCUGCAGGCUUGUAAGUGGCAAACAAACAUGGGGGUAUUAUAGCAAAUCUGAGGCAUUAAGGUCCGAGCGUUCGGACGCCUUUACAAGUCUAUGCAUCUGGACGCAAGCUGGCUGAUUUGCAUCCAGGCACAGGUUGGGGAUUUGAGCAGAAAUCCCUGCAGAAUGCUUAAUGUGACGGCGGCAUAAAAACAUCUGGCUGCUUCAUGAGCGCAGAUCCAGUCAGUUCCUCAGCUCCUAACACCGACAGAAACGGUGCACUUCAUCUGACCUGACGUGACCUUGGAUAAUAAUUCACGGAAGAUUGUGGCCCCAGUAUAUUAUCUCAUGGCCUCGAUUUACUGUAUUAUAUCAUGACCUAUCAUCUGCUGCCUUUGAUAUAUCAUCCUGUUGCUUCAGUAUAUCACCUUGUGGCCUCCAUAUAUUAUCUCGUGGAAUAGAUUUUUCUUGUGACCUUAAUGUAUAACCUUAUGACCUCAACAUAUUUAGCUCAUGGCCUCAAUAUAUAAAUUUCUGGUCACAUUAUAUUAUCUCAUGUCACUGAUAUAUCGUCUUGUGACCUCAAUAUAUUAUCUCAU
ensembl:lncRNA